rnacentral:rRNA from 1 species
UACGUAGGCAGCGAGCGUUGUUCGGAGUUACUGGGCGUAAAGAGUGCGUAGGCGGUUUUCUAAGUUUGGUGUGAAAUCUCCCGGCUCAACUGGGAGGGUGCGCCGAAGACUGGAAGGCUUGAGUAUGGGAGAGGUAAGCGGAAUUCCUGGUGUAGCGGUGAAAUGCGUAGAUAUCAGGAGGAACACCUGCGGUGUAGACGGCUUACUGGACCAUAACUGACGCUGAGGCACGAAAGCGUGGGUAGCAAACGGG